rnacentral:rRNA from 1 species
UUGUAAAUGUAAUUUUUAAAAUACUAGAUUAUUAAUAGUUAUGUUCUUUAAAUUUAAAGAUUUUGGCGGUAUUUUAGUCUAUUCAGAGGAACCUGUUUUGUAAUUGAUAAUCCACGAUUAAUAUUACCUAUAUUUUUAAUUUGCAUAUCGUCGUAGUUUGAAUAUUUUAAAAGAAUUUAAAUGUUCAAGAUUUUUAAUUUAAAAAGAAAUCAGAUCAAGGUGUAGUUUAUAUGUUGGUAAUAAUGGGUUACACUAAGUUUAUAAUGGAUAAAUUUUUUAAAAUUAUUUUGAAAAUGGAUUUGAAAGUAAUUUUUUUUUGUAUAAAAAAAAUGAUUAUAGCUCUAAAAUAUG